GCCCUUAAAGUUUGAACCUGGCCCAAAUUGAACGCUGGCGGCAUCCCUUACACAUUCAAGUCGAACGGCAGCACGGACUUGCUCUGGUGUCGAGUGGCGAACGGGUGAGUAAUAUAUCGGAACGUACCCUGGAGUGGGGGAUAACGUAGCGAAAGUUACGCUAAUACCGCAUACGAUCUAAGGAUGAAAGUGGGGGAUCGCAAGACCUCAUGCUCGUGGAGCGGCCGAUAUCUGAUUAGCUAGUUGGUAGGGUAAAAGCCUACCAAGGCAUCGAUCAGUAGCUGGUCUGAGAGGACGACCAGCCACACUCGGAACUGAGACACAGGUCCAGACUCCUACAGGGAUGGCUAGCAGUGGGGAAUUUUGGACAAUGGGCGAAAGCCUGAUCCAGCAAUGCCGCGUGAGUGAAGAAGGCCUUCGGGUUGUAAAGCUCUUUUGUCAGGGAAGAAACGGUGAAGGCUAAUAUCCUUUGCUAAUGACGGUACCUGAAGAAUAAGCACCGGCUAACUACGUGCCAGCAGCCGCGGUAAUACGUAGGGUGCAAGCGUUAAUCGGAAUUACUGGGCGUAAAGCGUGCGCAGGCGGUUUUGUAAGUCUGAUGUGAAAUCCCCGGGCUCAACCUGGGAAUUGCAUUGGAGACUGCAAGGCUAGAAUCUGGCAGGGGGGGGUAGAAUUCCACGUGUAGCAGUGAAAUGCGUAGAUGAUGUGGAGGAACACCGAUGGCGAAGGCAGCCCUCCUGGGUCAAGAUUGACGCUCAUGUACGAAAGCGUGGGGAGCAAACAGGUUUAGAUACCCUGGUAGUCAAGGGCG
rnacentral:rRNA from 1 species